AUGAACCGACAGAAUCGAAAUAGAUCGUGCGAGCAAACGAGUGAACAACAACUAAAUUACUGUCGCAAACGAAGAAAUUGCCUCAAAACAUCAGUGUUAAACACGGUUAAUGAACAGAGUGACGUACAAAAUAUAGUAUUUAUAAAACAUGUUACAGUACUAAAGGGUCUGAAAGAUCAGAUUGAAAUCAAAUUCAGACGAGUGAGCCUGCAUAGAAAUUGA